rnacentral:rRNA from 1 species
GCUUGGCUCUUUGCUGACGAGUGGCGGACGGGUGAGUAAUGUCUGGGAAACUGCCUGAUGGAGGGGGAUAACUACUGGAAACGGUAGCUAAUACCGCAUAACGUCGCAAGACCAAAGAGGGGGACCUUCGGGCCUCUUGCCAUCGGAUGUGCCCAGAUGGGAUUAGCUAGUAGGUGGGGUAACGGCUCACCUAGGCGACGAUCCCUAGCUGGUCUGAGAGGAUGACCAGCCACACUGGAACUGAGACACGGUCCAGACUCCUACGGGAGGCAGCAGUGGGGAAUAUUGCACAAUGGGCGCAAGCCUGAUGCAGCCAUGCCGCGUGUAUGAAGAAGGCCUUCGGGUUGUAAAGUACUUUCAGCGGGGAGGAAGGGAGUAAAGUUAAUACCUUUGCUCAUUGACGUUACCCGCAGAAGAAGCACCGGCUAACUCCGUGCCAGCAGCCGCGGUAAUACGGAGGGUGCAAGCGUUAAUCGGAAUUACUGGGCGUAAAGCGCACGCAGGCGGUUUGUUAAGUCAGAUGUGAAAUCCCCCGG